rnacentral:rRNA from 1 species
GCAGUCGACGCUGAAGCCUGGUGCUUGCACCGGGUGGAUGAGUGGCGAACGGGUGAGUAACACGUGAGUAACCUGCCCCUGACUUCGGGAUAAGCCCGGGAAACUGGGUCUAAUACCGGAUACGACUGCCGGACGCAUGUCUGGUGGUGGAAAGUUUUUUCGGUUGGGGAUGGGCUCGCGGCCUAUCAGUUUGUUGGUGAGGUAAUGGCUCACCAAGACGACGACGGGUAGCCGGCCUGAGAGGGCGACCGGCCACACUGGGACUGAGACACGGCCCAGACUCCUACGGGAGGCAGCAGUGGGGAAUAUUGCACAAUGGGGGAAACCCUGAUGCAGCGACGCAGCGUGCGGGAUGACGGCCUUCGGGUUGUAAACCGCUUUCAGCAGGGAAGAAGCGCAAGUGACGGUACCUGCAGAAGAAGUACCGGCUAACUACGUGCCAGCAGCCGCGGUAAUACGUAGGGUACGAGCGUUGUCCGGAAUUAUUGGGCGUAAAGAGCUCGUAGGUGGUUGGUCACGUCUGCUGUGGAAACGCAACGCUUAACGUUGCGCGUGCAGUGGGUACGGGCUGACUAGAGUGCAGUAGGGGAGUCUGGAAUUCCUGGUGUAGCGGUGAAAUGCGCAGAUAUCAGGAGGAACACCGGUGGCGAAGGCGGGACUCUGGGCUGUAACUGACACUGAGGAGCGAAAGCAUGGGGAGCGAACAGGAUUAGAUACCCUGGUAGUCCAUGCCGUAAACGUUGGGCACUAGGUGUGGGGGGCAUUCCACGUUCUCCGCGCCGUAGCUAACGCAUUAAGUGCCCCGCCUGGGGAGUACGGUCGCAAGGCUAAAACUCAAAGGAAUUGACGGGGGCCCGCACAAGCGGCGGAGCAUGCGGAUUAAUUCGAUGCAACGCGAAGAACCUUACCAAGGCUUGACAUACACCGGGACCGUCCUGGAAACAGGUCCUCUUCUUUGAAGCUGGUGUACAGGUGGUGCAUGGUUGUCGUCAGCUCGUGUCGUGAGAUGUUUGGGUUAAGUCCCGCAACGAGCGCAACCCUCGUUCUAUGUUGCCAGCAUGGUGAUGGUGGGAACUCAUAGG